rnacentral:rRNA from 1 species
GACGAACGCUGGCGGCGUGCUUAACACAUGCAAGUCGAACGGAAAGGCCCUUUCGGAGGUACUCGAGUGGCGAACGGGUGAGUAACACGUGGGUGAUCUGCCCUGCACUCUGGGAUAAGCCUGGGAAACUGGGUCUAAUACCGGAUAGGACCGCACUUUAGUGUGUGUGGUGGAAAGUUUUUUCGGUGUAGGAUGAGCCCGCGGCCUAUCAGCUUGUUGGUGGGGUAAUGGCCUACCAAGGCGGCGACGGGUAGCCGGACUGAGAGGUUGGUCGGCCACAUUGGGACUGAGAUACGGCCCAGACUCCUACGGGAGGCAGCAGUGGGGAAUAUUGCACAAUGGGCGCAAGCCUGAUGCAGCGACGCCGCGUGGGGGAUGACGGCCUUCGGGUUGUAAACUCCUUUCGCCAGGGACGAAGCGUUUUGUGACGGUACCUGGAGAAGAAGCACCGGCUAACUACGUG